rnacentral:rRNA from 1 species
UGGGGAAUAUUGGACAAUGGGCGCAAGCCUGAUCCAGCAAUGCCGCGUGUGUGAAGAAGGCCUUCGGGUUGUAAAGCACUUUUAUCAGGAGCGAAAUACUACCGGCUAAUACCCGGUGGGGCUGACGGUACCUGAGGAAUAAGCACCGGCUAACUUCGUGCCAGCAGCCGCGGUAAUACGAAGGGUGCAAGCGUUAAUCGGAAUUACUGGGCGUAAAGCGUGCGUAGGCGGUCUUUUAAGUCUGCUGUGAAAUCCCCGGGCUCAACCUGGGAAUGGCAGUGGAUACUGGGAGGCUAGAGUGUGAGAGAGGAUGGUGGAAUUCCCGGUGUAGCGGUGAAAUGCGUAGAGAUCGGGAGGAACAUCAGUGGCGAAGGCGGCCAUCUGGCUCAACACUGACGCU